rnacentral:rRNA from 1 species
GACGAACGCUGGCGGCGUGCCUAACACAUGCAAGUGGAGCGACGAACCAGACUUCGGUCUGGGGCAAAGCCGCGAACGGGUGAGUAACACGUGGGUAACCUGCCCUGAUGAUUGGGACAACCCGAGGAAACUCGGGCUAAUACCAAAUGUGCCCCGCAGCCGCAAGGCUGCUGGGGAAAGGAAGCUUCGGCCUCCGCAUCGGGAUGGGCCCGCGGCCCAUUAGCUUGUUGGUGAGGAAU